UCACACUAUACCCACCACGACCCGCCUGCCUGCCACCGAAACCAAGUGAUCGCCUCCACCACCACCACGACAUAAGUAGUGCCCCAGCGAUGAGUUUUAAACUAGGUCGCAAAGGAGUCGUUGCUUCAACUAGCGAUGCCUUGAUUUGCCGACCGUCGCUGCUACAGUGAGUGACUGCUCGCCACGUUGUCGCUAACGCUUGCUUCACUAUUAGGGCUGACGAAAACUUCGGCUAUCUCCCUAAACAGAUUGGACUCUUGUCCAACUAAGAGGUUUUAGAUAAAUUCAGAUGGUGGGAACAGUGAGUUGACUGGGGGUGGUAAAGGUAACUUCACGUGGUGGUGGCAAGAAUACUGGAGGAGGCAGUAAAGUCACAGGUGGUGGUGGCUGUGCGUGCUUGGAUUGUUGAGAUGACUGCACAGGUAGAGGUCGGGAGAAAACUGG
rnacentral:lncRNA from 1 species